rnacentral:rRNA from 1 species
AGCGAACGCUGGCGGCAGGCUUAACACAUGCAAGUCGAGCGGGCAUAGCAAUAUGUCAGCGGCAGACGGGUGAGUAACGCGUGGGAACGUACCUUUUGGUUCGGAACAACACAGGGAAACUUGUGCUAACACCGGAUAAGCCCUUACGGGGAAAGAUUUAUCGCCGAAAGAUCGGCCCGCGUCUGAUUAGCUAGUUGGUGAGGUAAUGGCUCACCAAGGCGACGAUCAGUAGCUGGUCUGAGAGGAUGAUCAGCCACAUUGGGACUGAGACACGGCCCAAACUCCUACGGGAGGCAGCAGUGGGGAAUAUUGGACAAUGGGCGCAAGCCUGAUCCAGCCAUGCCGCGUGAGUGAUGAAGGCCCUAGGGUUGUAAAGCUCUUUUGUGCGGGAAGAUAAUGACGGUACCGCAAGAAUAAGCCCCGGCUAACUUCGUGCCAGCCGCCGCCGUAA